CUAGAUUCCUUUAUCACAUUUUCUAUUGAAGAUUGAAGAACAAAAUUUAUGACUUUUAUAAGUAAAAUUCCAAUUAAUUUAUGAAUAACACAAUGGUUUCUUCUCUUUCAUGGGUGAAAAUGUGUGGCUAAGCUCCCAUAACUAGGGUUAUGGGAGCCUUGAUGUGAAAAGAUGAUUUUGGGUUGUGAAUCUAGUAGAUUCCCAUGAGUAAUUGAUAUUGUAUAAAAUCUUCUUUACUUUAAUGAAUUUUCUUGGUUGCAAACUUAAAAAGUGAACCCAAGAACAAUGCUUGUUCAAAUAGAAAAGUGUUUGUUGGGAAAAAAAGGGUUUACAUAUAUAUAAAGGCUUUAACUUUUGGAUAGAGGAUAAAUACCUUAACUGAAUCAACCCAUGUGAGAAUAUAGUUGAAUUAAUAAUAUGUUCCUUAAGUUUGAAAGAAUUAAGGGAUAAGUUACUCAUUUAGUUUGAGAAACUAAUGGGUAAACCAUAGAAUUUAAUUACUCUUGCAAUUAGAAUUGUUCAGUCGGAAUCCAAAAUAGUUCACAACCCUAGUUGCUUAAGCAUCUUGAUAACCAUAGCUCUAGUUUGAUUUCUCUUACUGAAUAUUAACUGCAAUACAAAUAAUAUUUGGAUUACUCUCUAUGAUAAACUUUUGACUACAAUUGAUAAAUGAAAAUCCCCCUCUAUUCUGGAACCUUCGACCAAAGUCUAGUAAUAACCACAAUAUUUAGUGAACAUAGUAUUCCCUAUGGGAUUCGACAACCAACCCAUUUGGGUUCUACAUUUGAUAAAGACCACUUAUACUCUCUAACGAGAUUUGUGAUUUAGGCGUAUUACCUAGAUCCCACAAAGGGUGUUGGUUGAUUAAGAUAGUAGGACGGUGGUCAUUAAAGUCAAAAUCCGCUAAGGAGUGUCUAAUAACUCACCUGCAGAAUCACCUUGCCCCAAAAAUUGAUGGUGCUUAAGCGCGUGACCUAUACGCAACCGUUGGGGCAAGUGCCAGGGGCCAAUGAGUAGGAUGGCGCGACGGUCACUUCAAAAACCUUGGGCGCGAGCCUAGGCAAAGCGGCCGUCGGUGCAGAUCUUAGUGGUAGUAGCAAAUAUUCAAAUGAGAACUUUGAAGGCUGAAGAAUGGAAAGGUUCCAUGUGAACGUCACUUGUACAUGAGUUAGUUGAACCUAAUGGUCGGGGAAACCCCAACAAAUAGCGCAUUUCGUGCAUACUGUGAAAGGGAAUCGGGUUAAAAUUCCUGAACUGGGAGGUGUCCGUCUACGGAAACAUUAGGAAGUUCGAAGACGUUGGCAGGAGAAGUCAUUUUUUUUUAUUUAACAGCCUUUCAAUCCUUGAAUUGUCUCAGCUUGAGGUAGGGUCCAGUGGCUAGAAAAGCAUCAUACGUUGCAUGGUGUUCGGUGCACUCCCAAAGGCCCUUGAAAAUUUGAAAGACCAAAUGCCAUCCACAUUCGAUCGUACUGAUAACCGCAUUAGGUCUCAAAGGUGAACAACCUCUUGUUGAUGGAACAAUGUAGGUAGGGGCAGUAGGAAAAAUAGAUCCGUAACUUUGGGAAAAGGAUUGGCUCUAAGGGCUAGGCACGUGGGUUCUAGUAUAAAACCCAUCGACUGUCGGUGGACGACUCUAGCUACUCCCGUGGUGAGAGCAAGUCACAGCGGGACAGCUGGGGGACGGUCUGGGAACAAUUCCUUCGGGGGCCUUCCCCACGUGUUGAAUAGCCAACUCAAAAUAGGUACGGACAAGGGAAAUCCGAUUGUGUAAUUAAAACAAAGCAUUGCCGAUGGUCCCAACAGAUGUUCACGCAAUGUGAUUUCUACCCAAUGUUCUGAAAGUAAAAGUAAAGGAAUUCAACUAAGCGCGGGUAAACGGUGGGAGUAACUAUGACUCAUUUAAGGUAGCCAAAUACCUCAUCAUCUAAUUAGUUACGCGUAUGAAUGACUAAGAAUACUUCCACUUUCCUUGUCUACUGUCCAGCGGAACCUCAAUCAAGGGAACGGGCUUGGCAGAAUCAGCGGGAAAAGAUGACCUUAUUGAGCUUGGCUCAAGUCCGACUUUGUAAAAUGACUUAAGAGAUGUAGUAUAAAUGGGAGCCAAAAGCCGAAAGUGAAAUACCACUAGUUUUAAUGUUAUUUUACUUAUUUCGUGAAUUGGAAGUAGGGCACUGCCCCUUUUUUUGGACCCAAGGCUUGCUCUGUGGGCCGAUCCGAGUGGAAGACAUUAUUAGUUGGGGAGUUUGGCUAGGGUGGCACAUCUUUUAAAAGAUAACGCAAAUGUCCUAAGAUGAGCUCAACGAGAAUAGAAAUAUUCUAUGGAAUAGGAUGGUAAAAGCUUGUUUGAUUCUGAUUUUCAGUAUGAAUACGAACCGUGAAAGCGUGGCCUAAUAAUCCUUUAGACCUUUGGAAUUUAAACCUAGAGGUGUUAGAUAAUUUUCCACGGUGAUAACUAUUUUGUGGCAGCCAAGAAUUCAUAGCGACGUUGUUUUUUUAUCCUUCGAUGUAGGAUUUUUCUAUCAUUGUGAAGCAGAAUUCACCAAGUGUUGGAUUGUUUUCCCAUUAAUAGGGAACAUGAGAUGGGUUUAGACCACCGUGAGAUAGGUUAGUUUUAUCCUACUGAUGACAGUGUUGCAAUAAUAAUUCAACGGAGUAUGAGAGAAACUGUUGAUUCACAUAAUUGGUCAUCGCGCUUAGUUGAAAAGCCAGUGGCACAAAGCUACCAUGAGCUGGAUUAUGACUGAACGCCUCUAAGUCAAAAUCCAGGCUAGAAGUGAUGCAUUCUCCCAUCGUCCGCUUGCCGACCCGUAGUAGGGGCCUUAAGCCCCAAGGGCACGCCGCCUUGAAGUAUAAUUUCCAUCGAACGGUGGGUAGAAUCUUUUGCAGAUGUCUUAAAUACAUGAUGGGGUAUUGUAAGUGGCAGAGUGGCCUUGCUACCAUGAUCCACUGAGAUACAUCCCUUUGU
rnacentral:rRNA from 1 species